CUGUAAGUUGCCUUAGAGCAUGUUGCGAGCGAAGCGCACACGUGUCUGACACUAACUUCCCGAACCAUAAAAACCCGGAUUCAUGCUAAGUUGACAAUCUGUCAACAGAAAUUGCAAGGCGAUAUAAAACUCAAUGUAGUUAAACCGGCGGUAUCAGCAAUAUAAUUGGAAACUCCGAGUAGUCAACAUGUAAGCUAACCUAUCAAUGGGGAUAAUUUAAACGAGAUAUUGGGAUUAGAGAAAACUGGAACUGGUUAAGAACCGUAAUGGCGCAAGCGAGGUGAAUUGACGGAUUUUGGUUAGAGAUGUGAAAUACAGUAUGGUUUUGAUGAGUUGGAAUAGGAGGAAUGUUACACCAGUAUUUGUAUAGCAAGUAAAAAUCAAAAUGGAGUGAUUGAGGAAUAAUGACGGGAAGAAUGUUAACGAUCAUUUUAGUCGAAACAUUGCAACCAACAACUUCAUAAGAUGAAUUAUGUAGUCGAGUAUGAGAAGAGACCUGAAAAAUCAAGUUAAGACACGAACAAUUUAUUCUCUUGAUCAGUUGGUUUUCCGAAUUUCGAGGACGAAAUUCUUUUAAGGGGGGUAGAUUGUAACAUCUGACUUUAAUUAAUAGAAGUAAUAUUAAUUAAUGAAGGUUAUUGUGAUUAAUUGGAUAAAUAAUUGACCAAGUAAGAUUAUGUGAGAUACAAGUGAAACCAAUGAGAAGCCUUAGUCAUAGAGGUGGACCCUACACCUCACUUAUAUGCAAAUGAACAACUUACCCUCACACUUUCAUUUUCAUUUACUGAUAACCAAAGAUCAGAAGCUCUCUCUCUCUCUCUCUCUCUCUCGUGAACUCUCACUCUCCUUCUCAUGUUCCUCAUCAUUCUCAAGCAAUAAGCACAAAUCCUUUCAUUCCAAAUCUUGCAUGCAAACACAUAAUUGAAAUCCUUAAUUAGGUCUUGGGCUUUAUUGUAAGGUAAGCUUUUCUCCAAUCCUCCAUCUAUUUCUCUCAAUUUCAAGCCCUUUCUCUCUAGCCCCAAUUCUGAUAUGGGUUUGUGAUGCAUGCUUUUUGUCUACAAAUAAUGGGCUGUGGUGAUUGAGCCAAGAAUUGAAAGUACAAUAAGAAAUUGGAAGAAUUUGGGUUAAACCCGUAAUCUGGACAGACCUCCACUAAAAAGUUUCAUGGAUUUCUAAGCAGUGAUGAAUUCGGGAGAAGCAUUUGAAGUUCGAGGUCUGAUGCAGAACUUUGGGCUACGGGUUUAGAGUGUUGUGGCUGCAAAUUCUGUUUUUCAACUAGCUCCGAAUAUGUUGUUAACACGAUUCAAACGUCAUGUUCAGGUAACAGGUUGAGCAUGAUAAAUGGAUUUUCAAGAGGAUUGAAGUAAAGACGCUGUUUAUGGAAACUUCGUAGCAUUCACCUGUUAGAUUAUUAUAGAAGAUGACUCAAGGCUUGAUCCUGAUUGUUAUGCAUUCUAUUUCGCUCUGAUGUAUAAUAUAUUAUAGGUUGUACAUUAUGACAGUUUAUUCAGGAUUUUGUCAAGAUUAUGUAUUGUCUAGCAAAUUAUCUUGUAAUUGUACUAUGUCGGACAAAAGUUAUUCUGUAAUUUUAAUGUUUCCCGAUUCAGUUA